rnacentral:lncRNA from 1 species
ACGAAGCUAAAAAAAAGAAGUUGAACUCAAUUCGUUUCAAUCUCUUCUCUUCUCUCUCACUCCCUACCGAUCUGUCCCAAUCUCGUCGAUUCUGUCCAUCCUCUCUCGCGAGCCCUACGCCGUCUCAACAAAAAUGAACAACAUCUGGACGACGCCGUCUCUAAACCAGAGAUCCGUCUUCUCUCUUUGACUUCCCCCGCUUCUUCCAUGGCUGAAACCCUCCAAAAUCCUAACCCUAACAUCUCUGCCUAUUACCAGACUAGGGCCGCUCACCACACGUCAUCACCAGCGACUGGCUUGCCCAGGCCCAGGUGGCCGUCGGCAAUAAAACUAAUGAAGGCAGAGAGCAGGACUAAGAGAUAUCGGACCAAAAGGCAGAUAGAGCUAGAGAACGACAGAGAGAGAGUGUGAGCGACGAGCGAUCGAUUCCAUCAGGCAGCCAUUCUAGGGUUUUCUUCAACAAAUCUCUGGCUUAAAUCUUCAUUGGUACAAAGGUAUGUAUGAUUAUUAAGGGUAUUUGUGCGAUUGAUUGUGAUGGGUACGUUUGUUUGUUUAAUUCUAGGUUUUGAAAUUCCAUAACUCUCUCUCUCGUUCUCCCUCCCUCUGUCUCUAGUAUUUUGGAUUUGGGGAUUUUCACAAGCAGUUAGUAUGUUUCUCUCUUGUUAGUGAUGGAGUUCAGUUCCAAGUUUAAGGUGUUGAUUUCUCAAGAUGAUUUCCCUCAAUGGUUGACUGGUUGAGUUUGUGUUUUAUAAACUUCUCAUUUUAGUAUGAUAGUGUUAUAUUUUAUCCUAAUUAGAAAUCAUAUGUACCAUUGUAGUUCGCUAGCGGGGAAAAGGUAAUUUUUAAGUUUGCAUAUGAAUCGAGGUAUGUUUAAUUUGGUUUACCUGUGAGCUUGAAUUCCUACUUUAGUAGUUUUAUUAGGCUUCCAUUAGUUAUGGUAGCAUCUUAUAAUACUCUUUGGUGAAUUACAGGCAUGGAAAAUGAAGGGAAGAGUAAGUCUUAGGAGUUUGUACCAGGCAAGGAUAGUAAUAGUUAUUAGCUUGUCUCCAAUGUCAGUGUGAGGUAACUUCAGUUCAAGCAAAGAUAAUAUUGAUUGUUUGACUGAGAUGAUACACACCCGAAUAAAGAAAAUCAAUGGUGACAUUUCUGAGAUUUCCCCUAUUGGAACUAAGCAGAGGACUGCUAAGAUCUGAAUUUAAUCUCAUAGUUCUGCUUAAAAUGUAGUCUUUGAAAGGCUUUGGUGGAGCAUAACUUAUUAUCAAAUAAAAAAAUAGUAGUGGGCAUAAUGUGUCAUGAUCCAUAAAGUAGUGAUCAUCUCCUUGUAAACUGCAAUACACUUUGUUAUAUUGAUACCUGCUCCUAACGUUGAUGUGCCCUUUUAAUGUUUGAAUAUUGCCAAUUUGUCCAAGUAUUUUGCCGUUGUAUACAGAUAACUUCCCCUAGUAAUUCACAUCCUUGCAGCUGCUUCUGAAGGGUUGUGUGCUUCUGUUAGUUGGUUGCAUAUAUUUGGGUUCAUUAGAUGAAGGAUUGCUUUUAAGAUUAACAUUUCAUACAUCACAUAAACAUUGUUCAGCUAAUUAGACCUGUCUUUCCUCUCUGUUAUAGCGUUAUCGAUACAUUGAGGCAUAUACAAGUAUACAUAUAAUAGGAUCUGGAGGGACAGAUUUUACAUGAUGGGUUUAUCUAACAAAGAUAUAGUAGCACUAUCAGGAGGACACACACUGGUAAGUUGCAUCUACAAAAUUGUUUUUGACUCAUACUCUUGUAUAUUUUGCUUCUGGGACAAACUCAAAGCUCUUUCACUCUGAAAUCAUAUUCAUGCAGUUAGCCACUCUUUUGGUGUUUUGUGUGAUAGGGGCCGAGGGGGACGAGGAACUGGGCCAGGCACACUUUUGCACAAGUGCUACAACCAAUUCUUCAAGAACUCACAGAAACUUUGGCUGAAAAGCAUGUUAUCAUUAUCCAAAACAUCAAGAUAAUAAACGGAUCUAAACUAAAAAAAGGUAAUUAAUGGUUGUUGUUUUCCCUUUUCAGGAAAGCCCUUGGGGUUUCAUUAGUAAAAUGUUUUUUAGUUUCUUCUGGCUAUAUAUGUUGAACUGCCUUCAUUGGGUUUUUUGUAUUGGUUCAUCCCGCUCGGUCAAUCAUGAGUUUUCAUUACUAGAAUUCAAGAAUACUUUUGCUGCUAGGGUGAUUUAGAUAUGCAAAACAUGGGGGUUCUCUUAGAAAUUAUGGAAGCUUUUGAUAUGCUAACUGCGAUGAGGUCAAGAGGUUUUACUUUUGUAAUUCAUAUACAUUAAUUUAAUUUUCUAAUUCCUCUGCUCUAGAUUUGUUACCUAUACGUUCCCUGAAUUUCUUUCAUCUUAAAAAUGGUUGUAUGUGUUUGUCUAUACUAUAUUCAAUAUAGAGAUUAAGUUUGUGAUAGUUUUGUCUAUUACCAGCGACUAACAGUCUUAGGAAGUAAUGCCAUACAUAUAGAUGCUAGAUAGGUGGACCUUGAGCAAAAGUUUGUAACCAAAAUCAAAACAGUUAUCGAGGGGACUUGCAUUUCCUUCUGAACAGUGUAUGUCCUGCAAGAUUCUGGCAUUGCUUUGUUUGAUACAAUUAUAGACUAAUAGUUAAAACUUAAAACUAAAACUACAACUGCAGAAGAUUUGAAGGUUGUACAUCAUUUUAGUCAGUAAAGUCUAUACUUCUUCAGCUACUCCUUUGCCUGUAUUUUGCUAUAAUAAGCCAAAAAAUUAAAGAAUUAUACAAAAAAUUUACGGCUGCAUGACGAUUACUCUUGUACUUUUAGAGGGAUUACUUUGGAAACUUGUAUAACAGUAUGGCUAUUUUCCUGGUGUAAAGUUAAUACAUUGAUUCUUUUCCAUAUUAAAAGCAUAACAAUAUGGCUAUUUUUUUGGUAUAACAGUAUGGCUUAGUGCAGUGCAAUAAGUGCUCAUAAUGGAUUUGUUACAGCAAACGAUGAAAAAAAUCUCAAAAUGGGUUUGUAACAGCAAACGAUGAGAAAAUGUCAAAAUCGCUGAAGAACUUCUUCACCAUUCGCGAGGUAAACCGAAAAAUUGUCUAAUUGUUUUUUCACAUAAUUGUUGAAGCAUUGUCUGCAAUCAUGCCUUUUAGAACCUUGUCCCGCUAGUUUAUCUGACAUUCCUAAAUUAGAACCUUGGUAAAAUUCCUAAAUUAGAACCUUGUGGCUCUUGUGUGACUGAGACUGGUAAAAUUCUUUCAGGAGAAUGCAGCUGCAGCAGCAUAGAAGGCUUGACUUAUUGAUUUUAACAACAUAGAAGUUGCAAUGUUGCUGAAUAAUGUGAAGUUGGUAUCUCGAGCCCGUUCCCAGGGUAAAGAUCUAUUCAAUAUAGUAGUAAUUAUAUUGAAAAGUGAAUUUGAGAUGUAUGGAUAGUUUGGCAUUAUUGAGAUGUAAACGUAUUGUAUGGUAUUAAUAUUCUUUGUAAUUGGCAUUAAAAAGAAUUAUUGGGAUGUAAACGUAUUGUAUGGUAUUAAUAUUCUUUGUAAUUUUAGUUAUAUAUCAGGCAUUAGCAUAUUGCAGGUGCAUUGGUAAUAUAGGUGAACCACCAUAUUUAUUUAUUUUUUAAUCUACAACAUUUUAAAAACGUUGUGUGAAAGUGUUUAAACGUUG